rnacentral:rRNA from 1 species
UGAGGAAUAUUGGACAAUGGGUGAGAGCCUGAUCCAGCCAUCCCGCGUGAAGGACGACGGCCCUAUGGGUUGUAAACUUCUUUUGUACAGGGAUAAACCUACCCUCGUGAGGGUAGCUGAAGGUACUGUACGAAUAAGCACCGGCUAACUCCGUGCCAGCAGCCGCGGUAAUACGGAGGGUGCAAGCGUUAUCCGGAUUUAUUGGGUUUAAAGGGUCCGUAGGCGGAUCUGUAAGUCAGUGGUGAAAUCUCACAGCUUAACUGUGAAACUGCCAUUGAUACUGCAGGUCUUGAGUAAAUUUGAAGUGGCUGGAAUAAGUAGUGUAGCGGUGAAAUGCAUAGAUAUUACUUAGAACACCAAUUGCGAAGGCAGGUCACUAAGAUUUAACUGACGCUGAUGGACGAAAGCGUGGGGGGCGAACAGGAUUAGAUACCCUGGUAGUCCACGCCGUAAACGAUGCUAACUCGUUUUUGGGUUUUUCGGAUUCAGAGACUAAGCGAAAGUGAUAAGUUAGCCACCUGGGGAGUACGUUCGCAAGAAUGAAACUUAAAUGAAUUGAC